UUCUUAAUUAUGAUGAAGCUAUCAACUUUUUCUCUUUU
rnacentral:sRNA from 1 species